rnacentral:rRNA from 1 species
AACGAACGCUGGCGGCAGGCUUAACACAUGCAAGUCGAACGCCCCGCAAGGGGAGUGGCAGACGGGUGAGUAACGCGUGGGAAUCUACCUAGUUCUACGGAACAACAGAGGGAAACUUCUGCUAAUACCGUAUACGCCCUAAGGGGGAAAGAUUUAUCGGAAUUAGAUGAGCCCGCGUAAGAUUAGCUAGUUGGUGGGGUAAUGGCCUACCAAGGCGACGAUCUUUAGCUGGUCUGAGAGGAUGAUCAGCCACACUGGGACUGAGACACGGCCCAGACUCCUACGGGAGGCAGCAGUGGGGAAUAUUGGACAAUGGGCGCAAGCCUGAUCCAGCCAUGCCGCGUGAGUGAUGAAGGCCCUAGGGUUGUAAAGCUCUUUCAGUGGGGACGAUAAUGACGGUACCCACAGAAGAAGCCCCGGCUAACUUCGUGCCAGCAGCCGCCGUAACAC